UCGAGCGGAACGAGUUAUCUGAACCUUCGGGGGAACGAUAACGGCGCUCGAGCGGCGGACGGGUGAGUAAUGCCUAGGAAAUUGCCCUGAUGUGGGGGAUAACCAUUGGAAACGAUGGCUAAUACCGCAUAAUGCCUACGGGCCAAAGAGGGGGACCUUCGGGCCUCUCGCGUCAGGAUAUGCCUAGGUGGGAUUAGCUAGUUGGUGAGGUAAGGGCUCACCAAGGCGACGAUCCCUAGCUGGUCUGAGAGGAUGAUCAGCCACACUGGAACUGAGACACGGUCCAGACUCCUACGGGAGGCAGCAGUGGGGAAUAUUGCACAAUGGGCGCAAGCCUGAUGCAGCCAUGCCGCGUGUGUGAAGAAGGCCUUCGGGUUGUAAAGCACUUUCAGUCGUGAGGAAGGUAGUGUAGUUAAUAGCUGCAUUAUUUGACGUUAGCGACAGAAGAAGCACCGGCUAACUCCGUGCCAGCAGCCGCGGUAAUACGGAGGGUGCGAGCGUUAAUCGGAAUUACUGGGCGUAAAGCGCAUGCAGGUGGUUUGUUAAGUCAUAUGUGAAAGCCCGGGGCUCAACCUCGGAAUUGCAUUUGAAACUGGCAGACUAGAGUACUGUAGAGGGGGGUAGAAUUUCAGGUGUAGCGGUGAAAUGCGUAGAGAUCUGAAG
rnacentral:rRNA from 1 species